rnacentral:rRNA from 1 species
UUAAGGUUGACCUCGGAUCAGGUAGGAAUACCCGCUGGACUUAAGCAUAUCAAUAAGCGGAGGAAAAGAAACCAACAGGGAUUGCCCCAGUAACGGAUGAGUGAAGCGGCAACAGCUCAGAUUUGAAAUCUGGUCCCCAGGGCCCGAGUUGUAAUCKGUAGAGGAUGUUUUUGGCAAGGCGCCGUCCGAGUUCCUGGAACGGGACGCCAGAGAGGGUGAGAGCCCYGUACAGGCGGACGCCGAGCCUCUGUAAAGCUCCUUCGACGAGUCGAGUAGUUUGGGAAUGCUGCUCAAAGCGGGAGGUAAAUUUCUUCUAAAGCUAAAUACCGGCCAGAGACCGAUAGCGCACAAGUAGAGUGAUCGAAAGAUGAAAAGCACUUUGAAAAGAGAGUUAAAAAGCACGUGAAAUUGUUGAAAGGGAAGCGCNUGUGACCAGACUCGCGCCCGGCGGAUCAUCCGGCGU